AGUGAACGCUGGCGGUAGGCCUAACACAUGCAAGUCGAACGGCAGCACAGUAAGAGCUUGCUCUUACGGGUGGCGAGUGGCGGACGGGUGAGGAAUACAUCGGAAUCUACUUUUUCGUGGGGGAUAACGUAGGGAAACUUACGCUAAUACCGCAUACGACCUACGGGUGAAAGCAGGGGAUCUUCGGACCUUGCGCGAUUGAAUGAGCCGCUUUCGGAUUAGCUAGUUGGCGGGGUAAAGGCCCACCAAGGCGACGCUCCGUAGCUGGUCUGAGAGGAUGAUCAGCCACACUGGAACUGAGACACGGUACAGACUCCUACGGGAGGCAGCAGUGGGGAAUAUUGGACAAUGGGCGCAAGCCUGAUCCAGCAAUACCGCGUGGGUGAAGAAGGCCUUCGGGUUGUAAAGCCCUUUUGUUGGGAAAGAAAAGCAGCAGGUUAAUACCCCGCUGUUCUGACGGUACCCAAAGAAUAAGCACCGGCUAACUUCGUG
rnacentral:rRNA from 1 species